rnacentral:misc_RNA from 1 species
ACGUAUUCUUCGGGUCGAGAGGGUCGGCCCUGCACCGGCGGAGACGCCGUGCUGCGGGCCCCCGAUCGUUCCCUUCCACACCAAACCCCUGUGCACCUUUGGGAAGGCGGAUCCCCUCUUCGGGGGGGCUGAAGCCGGCCCCUAUUCACAAACUCUUGAUGUAUAGAAUGACCGCGGACUCUGUCCGUCUAAACACAUAA